GGGCGAUUAGCUCAGCUGGCUAGAGCGCUGCUUUCACACGGCAGAGGUCGAGGGUUCGAGUCCCCCAUCGCCCACCA
rnacentral:tRNA from 1 species